rnacentral:tRNA from 2 species
GCGCCAGUAGUUUAGUGGUAAAACAAAGGUGUCCGAAGCCUAAGAUAGGAGUUCGAUUCUCUUCUGGCGUGCCA